rnacentral:rRNA from 1 species
GAUGAACGCUGGCGGCGUGCCUAAUACAUGCAAGUCGAGCGAACGGAUGAGAAGCUUGCUUCUCUGAUGUUAGCGGCGGACGGGUGAGUAACACGUGGAUAACCUACCUAUAAGACUGGGAUAACUUCGGGAAACCGGAGCUAAUACCGGAUAAUAUUUUGAACCGCAUGGUUCAAUAGUGAAAGACGGUUUUGCUGUCACUUAUAGAUGGAUCCGCGCUGCAUUAGCUAGUUGGUAAGGUAACGGCUUACCAAGGCAACGAUGCAUAGCCGACCUGAGAGGGUGAUCGGCCACACUGGAACUGAGACACGGUCCAGACUCCUACGGGAGGCAGCAGUAGGGAAUCUUCCGCAAUGGGCGAAAGCCUGACGGAGCAACGCCGCGUGAGUGAUGAAGGUCUUCGGAUCGUAAAACUCUGUUAUUAGGGAAGAACAAAUGUGUAAGUAACUGUGCACAUCUUGACGGUACCUAAUCAGAAAGCCACGGCUAACUACGUG